CCUUCGCCGAUUGUUUCAGGUGCCCAUCACACAGGGUGAAACAGGGAAGCCGGUGCGAGCGCUUUUGCGGUCUAUCCCGGCGCUGCCUCCGCAACGGUAAAUGAGUCAAGGUCCCGCACGAUGCCACUGUGUUCACUGAGCAUGGGAAGGCGCGGGGCUGAAGUAUUCGCUCAUGAGUCCGGAGACCGGCCUGAUCCAUUCAACAGCA
rnacentral:ncRNA from 2 species